rnacentral:lncRNA from 1 species
UUUGCUGCCCAAUCGUGAGUUUCUCUUCACCCGCGCUGCGCUCGCAUCGCCGGUCUCCACCAGCCAUCGUCGCGCCGACUCACGACGACCCAAGCGCCGACGCCCAGCGACACCACCGCGCUUCUGCAACCCGCGACACUGCCGAUUCCGAACCGGCCCACACCUCCGCUGUUGCUGCGUCCGCGACCACCCGGUGCCUGACGCCCGACGACCGCACCUCUGCACCAGCGAGCUCGUCCCGACGCCUGCUGCAACGACCACUGCCGCAAGUCUCCUCCCGUGACGCCAGCCUGCAGCGCCGACGUCCUCCCCCGCUUUCCGUCUGCCGCCGGUGAUAGCUCCGCCAUUGCGCCGCUGCAGCACCUCCGUUGCAGCCCGACGACCGCGCCUCUACAACCCGCAGCCUAGCCAAUUCCUAGCAGACCCGCACCCGACGCCGUCCGCCGCUCGUGUCCUCCCCUCGCGACGCCGGACUCGCACCCGAAGCCCCGCCAACGACCCAGCGACGCCGGAGCCCCUCUGCAGAUCCCACGACGGCCCCGCCUCCGAUCAGCGCCUGCACCUGAAGUUUCCCCGCGCUGCUCUGCCCCGUGAUGCUGCAGCACCUCUGUUCGUGACCACCCCCUGCGACGCCAGCAGAUCCAGUGCCCACCGUCGCGCCACCUCUGUUCCGCCGACGAAACCGCUCCUGUACUGAUUCGAGCCACCGCCGGUUCACCUUCGUCGGAGCCCCCUGCUGGUCCGACGACGUGCUGCUCCCCAGUGACCCAGAGACUCACGAGCACGUGACUAGAAGAAAAAAGAAAAACAAAAACAAAAACAAAAGAAAAAGAGAAAAGCAAAUUAGGUAGUUUGUUUUUCUUUAUUUUAUUUAUUUU